UACGGGGGGGGCAAGCGUUGUUCGGAAUUACUGGGCGUAAAGGGCUCGUAGGUGGCCAACUAAGUCAUACGUGAAAUCCCUCGGCUUAACCGGGGAACUGCGUCUGAUACUGGAUGGCUUGAGGUUGGGAGAGGGAUGCGGAAUUCCAGGUGUAGCGGUGAAAUGCGUAGAUAUCGAGAGGAACACCUGCGGCGAAGGCGGGUUGCUGGGCUGACACUGACGCUGAAGCGCGAAAGCUAGGGGAGCGAACGGG
rnacentral:rRNA from 1 species